GACUACAUGAAGCUGGAAUCGCUAGUAAUCGCGAAUCAGAAUGUCGCGGUGAAUACGUUCCCGGGUCUUGUACACACCGCCCGUCACACCAUGGGAGUCGGAAAUGCCCGAAGUCAGUGACCUAACCGAAAGGGAGGAGCUGCCGAAGGUGGAGCCGGUAACUGGGGUGAAGUCGUAACAAGGUACC
rnacentral:rRNA from 1 species